GAGUGUGACUCAGUUGCAGACCAUUUGCUUUGCAUGCAGAAGGUCCCAGGUUCAUUCCCUGGUGCCUCCA